rnacentral:rRNA from 1 species
UACGUAGGGUGCAAGCGUUAAUCGGAAUUACUGGGCGUAAAGCGUGCGCAGGCGGUUAUGCAAGACAGAUGUGAAAUCCCCGGGCUUAACCUGGGAACCGCAUUUGUGACUGCAUAGCUAGAGUACGGCAGAGGGGGAUGGAAUUCCGCGUGUAGCAGUGAAAUGCGUAGAUAUGCGGAGGAACACCGAUGGCGAAGGCAGUCCCCUGGGCCUGUACUGACGCUCAUGCACGAAAGCGUGGGGAGCAAACAGG